UACGAAGGGUGCAAGCGUUACUCGGAAUUACUGGGCGUAAAGCGUGCGUAGGUGGUUUGUUAAGUCUGUUGUGAAAGCCCCGGGCUCAACCUGGGAAUGGCAAUGGAUACUGGCAAGCUAGAGUGCGGUAGAGGGUAGUGGAAUUCCCGGUGUAGCAGUGAAAUGCGUAGAUAUCAGGAGGAAUACCGAUGGCGAAGGCAGGUCUCUGGGCUGAAACUGACGCUCAUGCACGAAAGCGUGGGGAGCAAACAGG
rnacentral:rRNA from 1 species